CAGGGGGCGAGCCCCACCAGCCCGGGAGUUUCUAGACAGGAAUUUAGGAGCUUCACAUCAGGAAUGUCAGACCGGAUCAACCGCUGGGUCAACAAGACCAACAAUACUGGGUCUUCACUUCCUACUGACUUGAGACAUGUGGACAUCAUUAGUAAGAGGAGCCUGUUUGAGACAAGAGAGGAGAACAGUGUCCCAAAACCCAGCCCUGGAAAACUCUGCAAGUGAAGGUUGUCUAUUCAUAAUGGCUAACAAGAUUUAGUAGACGGUGAGGAGGACGCCAUGACUGACUGAUUCUUUCUUCAAGCUUUUUAUGCUUUUUUGACUUCCGUGCCAAAGCACACAGGAGGAAUAGAUAUGCCAAAUAGGGAAAAAAGUGAUUUGAGGAUACUGCUUUUAAAGUAAGGAGGCUUUAAUCAUACACUAAUGCAUUGCUUCAAGUACAAUAAAAGUCUUAUUUCAAACAUUGACAUUACAUGAACAUUAAUGUGUUGAGGAAGGGUAAAAAGCAAAGUUGACAUGAGAGGAGAAGAACUGUGAUAGAAAACAGGGAGGAAAGUGAUAUAUUUGUUUU